rnacentral:rRNA from 1 species
UGGGGAAUAUUGGACAAUGGGCGAAAGCCUGAUCCAGCCAUGCCGCGUGUGUGAAGAAGGUCUUCGGAUUGUAAAGCACUUUAAGUUGGGAGGAAGGGCAGUAAGCGAAUACCUUGCUGUUUUGACGUUACCGACAGAAUAAGCACCGGCUAACUCUGUGCCAGCAGCCGCGGUAAUACAGAGGGUGCAAGCGUUAAUCGGAAUUACUGGGCGUAAAGCGCGCGUAGGUGGUUCGUUAAGUUGAAUGUGAAAGCCCCGGGCUCAACCUGGGAACUGCAUCCAAAACUGGCGAGCUAGAGUAGGGCAGAGGGUGGUGGAAUUUCCUGUGUAGCGGCGAAAUGCGUGGAUAUAGGAAGGAACACCAGUGGCGAAGGCGACCACCUGGGCUCAUACUGACACUGAGGUGCGAAAGCGUGGGGAGCAAACAGG